rnacentral:rRNA from 1 species
GACGUAGGGCGCGAGCGUUUGUCCGGAUUUAUUGGGCGUAAAGAGCUCGUAGGCGGCUUGUCGCGUCGUCCGUCGAAAACCUGCAGCUCAACUGCAGGCUUGCGGUCGAUACGGGCAGGCUAGAGUUCGGUAGGGGAGACUGGAAUUCCUGGUGUAGCGGUGAAAUGCGCAGAUAUCAGGAGGAACACCGGUGGCGAAGGCGGGUCUCUAGUACGGGUACUGA